rnacentral:rRNA from 1 species
GAUGAACGCUGGCGGCGUGCCUAAUACAUGCAAGUCGAGCGAACAGACGAGGAGCUUGCUCCUCUGACGUUAGCGGCGGACGUGUGAGUAACACGUGGAUAACCUACCUAUAAGACUGUGAUAACUUCGGGAAACCGGAGCUAAUACCGGAUAAUAUAUUGAACCGCAUGGUUCAAUAGUGAAAGACGGUUUUGCUGUUACUUAUAGAUGGAUCCGCGCCGCAUUAGCUAGUUGGUAAGGUAACGGCUUACCAAGGCAACGAUGCGUAGCCGACCUGAGAGGGUGAUCGGCCACACUGGAACUGAGACACGGUCCAGACUCCUACGGGAGGCAGCAGUAGGGAAUCUUCCGCAAUGGGCGAAAGCCUGACGGAGCAACGCCGCGUGAGUGAUGAAGGUCUUCGGAUCGUAAAACUCUGAUAUAAGGGAAGAAAAAAUGUGUAAGUAACUAUGCACGUCUUGACGGUACCUAAUCAGAAAGCCACGGCUAACUACGUG